UACGGAGGGUGCAAGCGUUAUCCGGAUUUACUGGGUUUAAAGGGUGCGUAGGUGGGUAGGUAAGUCAGUGGUGAAAUCUCCGGGCUUAACCCGGAAACUGCCAUUGAUACUAUUUAUCUUGAAUAUCCUGGAGGUGAGCGGAAUAUGUCAUGUAGCGGUGAAAUGCUUAGAUAUGACAUAGAACACCAAUUGCGAAGGCAGCUCACUACGGGAUCAUUGACACUGAGGCACGAAAGCGUGGGGAUCAAACAGG
rnacentral:rRNA from 1 species